AACGAACGCUGGCGGCAUGCCUAACACAUGCAAGUCGAACGAGACCUUCGGGUCUAGUGGCGCACGGGUGCGUAACGCGUGGGAACCUGCCCUUAGGUUCGGAAUAACUCCCCGAAAGGGGUGCUAAUACCGGAUAAUGUCUUCGGACCAAAGAUUUAUCGCCUUUGGAUGGGCCCGCGUUGGAUUAGCUAGUUGGUAGGGUAAAAGCCUUCCAAGGCGACGAUCCAUAGCUGGUCUGAGAGGAUGAUCAGCCACACUGGGACUGAGACACGGCCCAGACUCCUACGGGAAGCAGCAGUGGGGAAUAUUGGACAAUGGGCGAAAGCCUGAUCCAGCAAUGCCGCGUGAGUGAUGAAGGCCUUAGGGUUGUAAAGCUCUUUUACCCGGGAUGAUAAUGACAGUACCGGGAGAAUAAGCUCCGGCUAACUCCGUG
rnacentral:rRNA from 1 species